rnacentral:rRNA from 1 species
AGUGAACGCUGGCGGUAGGCCUAACACAUGCAAGUCGAACGGCAGCACAGUAAGAUCUUGCUCUUACGGGUGGCGAGUGGCGGACGGGUGAGGAAUACAUCGGAAUCUACUUUUUCGUGGGGGAUAACGUAGGGAAACUUACGCUAAUACCGCAUACGACCUACGGGUGAAAGCAGGGGAUCUUCGGACCUUGCGCGAUUGAAUGAGCCGAUGUCGGAUUAGCUAGUUGGCGGGGUAAAGGCCCACCAAGGCGACGAUCCGUAGCUGGUCUGAGAGGAUGAUCAGCCACACUGGAACUGAGACACGGUCCAGACUCCUACGGGAGGCAGCAUUGGGAAAUAUUGGACAAGGGGCGCAAGCCUGAGCCAGCCAUACCGCGUGGGUGAAGAAGGCCUUCGGGUUGUAAAGCCCUUUUGUUGGGAAAGAAAAGCAGCAGGUUAAGACCCCGCUGUUCUGACGGUACCCAAAGAAUAAGCACCGGCGAAUUUCGG